UCCGGUUUGUCACCGGCAGUCUCCCUAGAGUGCCCUUGCGUAGCAACUAGGGACAAGGGUUGCGCUCGUUGCGGGACUUAACCCAACAUCUCACGACACGAGCUGACGACAGCCAUGCAGCACCUGUGUUGCCGUUCCCUUUCAGGCACACCCGCCUCUCAGCAGGCUCCGGCACAUGUCAAGGGUAGGUAAGGUUGUUCGCGUUGCAUCGAAUUAAUCCACAUCAUCCACCGCUUGUGCGGGUCCCCGUCAAUUCCUUUGAGUUUUAACCUUGCGGCCGUACUCCCCAGGCGGGCAACUUCACGCGUUAGCUACGGUACCAGGAGAUCGCUCCCCCAACACCCAGUUGCCAUCGUUUAGGGCGUGGACUAC
rnacentral:misc_RNA from 1 species